rnacentral:misc_RNA from 1 species
UCUAAGGAGCACACCAUUGCCGUCGCCAACAUCUUGUUGGUCUCGGUGGUGCACUCCCGAGUCGAUCACUCGUUAUUCGGCCUUCUCGAGCACCAACGGUUCGCAGGUUUCGACCUCGCCGUCGGCCAGCUCGAGUCAGUCGGUCCCUCCUCUGUUCCGUUUUUUAGGAGCGCUGCUUUGUCGCGCGUUCCUUGAGAGUUGGAUAGCAAGCACGAGCAUCUUUUUUUCGAAUUGAUUUCCAAGCUACAAAGAGCCAACGGUGGAUGCCUUGGCGCCUGAUGCCGAUGAAGGACGUGGGUGACUGCGAAAAGCCGCGGGGAGGUGUCGACCGACCGUCGAUCCGCGGAUGU